GAAUAUUUUCCUAGUAUUUAAAUUUUUAAAUUUAAAAGCUCUUUAUGUUAAUUAGUUAAUAUUUUCAAAUAGAAGAUAUCAUUUUUUUUGUUUAUUAUAUAAAAAUAGGUUUUUAAAGAAUUCUGGCGGAGCCUGUGCCAGCCGCCGCGGUUAUACAGGCAGAGUAAAAAAAUUUUUAUUAAAUUAAAUAUUAAUUUUGUUUUUUAAAAAAAUAUUUAGGUGAAAUUAUUAUUUUAUGUAAAUAAAUAAUAUUAAGAAAAUUUGUAAAAAAAAGUG
rnacentral:rRNA from 1 species